rnacentral:ncRNA from 1 species
CACCUGGUUGAUCCUGCCAGUAGUCAUAUGCUUGUCUCAAAGAUUAAGCCAUGCAUGUCUAAGUAUAAGCUUUAAACGGCGAAACUGCGAAUGGCUCAUUAAAACAGUUAUAGUUUAUUUGGUGAUCGAUUACUAUUUGGAUAACCGUAGUAAUUCUAGAGCUAAUACAUGCGUCAAGGCCCGACUUCGGAAGGGCUGCGUUUAUUAGGUUCGGGUUUCGGGUUUCGGGUUUCGGGUUUCGGGUUUCGGGUUUCGGGUUUCGGGUUUCGGGUUUCGGGUUUCGGGUUUCGGGUUUCGGGUUUCGGGUUUCGGGUUUCGGGUUUCGGG